CCAGACUCCUACGGGAGGCAGCAGUGAGGAAUAUUGGUCAAUGGGCGGGAGCCUGAACCAGCCAAGUCGCGUGAGGGAAGACGGUCCUAUGGAUUGUAAACCUCUUUAGGUGGGGAGCAAUGCCGGGCACGCGUGUCCGGAGGGAGAGUACCCGCAGAAUAAGCAUCGGCUAACUCCGUGCCAGCAGCCGCGGUAAUACGGAGGAUGCGAGCGUUAUCCGGAUUUAUUGGGUUUAAAGGGUGCGUAGGCGGAUUUUUAAGUCAGCGGUAAAAUGUCCGGGCUCAACCCGGGCCGGCCGUUGAAACUGGCGGGCUGGAGUUGGAGAGAAGUACGCGGAAUGCGCGGUGUAGCGGUGAAAUGCUUAGAUAUCGCGCAGAACCCCGAUUGCGAAGGCAGCGUACCGGCUCCACACUGACGCUGAGGCACGAAAGCGUGGGUAUCGAACAGGAUUAGAUACCCUAGUA
rnacentral:rRNA from 1 species